rnacentral:tRNA from 1 species
ACAUACUCGCCGAAUGGUACAGGCACCCGACUCAUAAUCAGGUAAAUGCAGGUUCAAAUCCUGCGUAUGAACCA